AGUGAACGCUGGCGGUAGGCCUAACACAUGCAAGUCGAACGGCAGCACAGUAAGAGCUUGCUCUUACGGGUGGCGAGUGGCGGACGGGUGAGGAAUACAUCGGAAUCUACUUUUUCGUGGGGGAUAACGUAGGGAAACUUACGCUAAUACCGCAUACGACCUACGGGUGAAAGCAGGGGAUCUUCGGACCUUGCGCGAUUGAAUGAGCCGAUGUCGGAUUAGCUAGUUGGCGGGGUAAAGGCCCACCAAGGCGACGAUCCGUAGCUGGUCUGAGAGGAUGAUCAGCCACACUGGAACUGAGACACGGUCCAGACUCCUACGGGAGGCAGCAGUGGGGAAUAUUGGACAAUUGGCGCAAGCCUGAUCCAGCCAUACCGCGUGGGUGAAGAAGGCCUUCGGGUUGUAAAGCCCUUUUGUUGGGAUAGAAAAGCAGCAGGUUAAUACCCCGCUGUUCUGACGGUACCCAAAGAAUAAGCACCGGCUAACUUCGUG
rnacentral:rRNA from 1 species